GACCCCUCGGCCUUGAGAGAAGGGUAGGUAUGAACAACAGCUGAAGAUUGGCAGCUAAGAAAGCAGCUACACGCUUCAUUCUAUUACCCUAUCAACCGAUUUUCCCCUCUCUCUCACUGAUUCACCUUCAGUUCUAUCUCUAACAAGAUUUCUCUUCAUUCCAGCAAAUGUCCUCUCUUUUAACUAACCAAUAUGUCUCUUCUGCCGUUGAUGUUUCGUUCACUAGUGAGGCUGAUCAGUGCACUAAUGUCUCAGCCAACUGCCUCAGUCACGACUUUAUUGUACUACAGCAAUCUUCUUCCUAGAAACUUGAAUUUAGAGCGAAUGGUUAGACGUGAAUUGCUCGAUGAAGAAAACCAUUUGUUCCAUUUUCUCAUCAGUUUCUUAAGAUGUUUAUGAGUGUGUGGAUCGAUCUUUUACUACAGUACCUUGCUGGGAUUGGUGAGUUGGAUUUUGUUAUCGGAAUACAUGUCAGAAAUCAAAAAGCCUUAAUACAUGGGUAAAGAUUUUGUACCUCUAGAUGAAUAUCAGGGUAAUUAAAUCUUUUUUUUUUUUUUUUAUCUUCGUUAAGUAGUGCUCCUCUUGCUGUAAGAAUUAGGAUUUUCCAGUUCAUGUAACGUAUUUGAGGCACUGCAUGAUGAUUAGGGAGCAACAUUGUGAUGCUGUGCAUGUACUAGCUUUUUGGGGACUGGAAUAACACAUAUCAGUAAUUAGUGUAUCUGGCCUGGUGUCUAAGACAGAGAAUCUAGCAUGUAAUGCAAUGUGGAUCAUCAACCUUCGAUCUUGUGCCAGGCGCAGUGAGAUUUUUCGGAAUCUAUGUUCAUUAGGUGCCGUCAUAAUGCCAUUAGUCAAAAGACAUCAAAGUUUUUACUUGAGGGUUAUUGUGAUGGUUAUAAAGUAAAAUUCUCUUAUGUUA